CAAAACAAAGAGUUGCCCCUUG
rnacentral:siRNA from 1 species